rnacentral:rRNA from 1 species
GACGAACGCUGGCGGCGUGCUUAACACAUGCAAGUCGAACGAUGAAGCCGGAGCUUGCUCUGGUGAAUUAGUGGCGAACGGGUGAGUAACACGUGAGUAACCUGCCCUUGACCCUGGGAUAACUGCGGGAAACUGUAGCUAAUACCGGAUACGACCCUCGGAGGCAUCUCCUGGGGGUGGAAAGAAUUUCGGUCAAGGAUGGACUCGCGGCCUAUCAGCUAGUUGGUGAGGUAAAGGCUCACCAAGGCGACGACGGGUAGCCGGCCUGGGAGGGUGACCGGCCACACUGGGACGGAGACACGGCCCAGACUCCAACGGGAGGCAGCAGUGGGGAAUAUUGCACAAUGGGCGCAAGCCUGAUGCAGCAACGCCGCGGGAGGGAUGACGGCCUUCGGGUUGUAAACCUCUUUUAGCAGGGAAGAAGCGAAAGUGACGGUACCUGCAGAAAAAGCACCGGCUAACUACGUGCCAGCCGCCGCCGUAA